rnacentral:rRNA from 1 species
ACGGGAGGCAGCAGUGGGGGAUAUUGGACAAUGGGGAAACCCUGAUCCAGCGACGCCGCGUGAGUGAAGAAGUAUUUCGGUAUGUAAAGCUCUAUCAGCAAGGAAGAAAAUGACGGUACUUGACUAAGAAGCUCCGGCUAAAUACGUGCCAGCAGCCGCGGUAAUACGUAUGGAGCAAGCGUUAUCCGGAUUUACUGGGUGUAAAGGGAGCGUAGACGGCAAAGCAAGUCUGAAGUGAAAUCCCGGGGCUCAACCCCGGAACUGCUUUGGAAACUGUUUAGCUAGAGUGCAGGAGAGGUAAGAGGAAUGCCUAGUGUAGCGGUGAAAUGCGUAGAUAUUAGGAGGAACACCAGUGGCGAAGGCGGCUUACGGGACUGUAACUGACGUUGAGGCUCGAAAGCGUGGGGAGCAAACAGGAUUAGAUACCCUGGUA